CGGCUGCCAGCUGAUUUUCACGGCAUGGUUCCAGGGCAUGAUUCAGUGAUUUGUUCAAAGCCACACCACCAGUGGAUAACAGAGAAGAGAGAGAAAGCAAAGUCAUUAGGCCUCUUUCUGCUGCCCUGGCCCCAUGAGAGAACCUACAAUAAGCAAUCUGCUGUGACAUUCUGAACAUAGCCCCCUAGACAGAAAUUAAAUGUGUCAAGAAGGACCACUUUGAAAACCUUUGUGCCACCAGCCCCUUCCCUCCUUCCAAUUAGCCUACUCCCACCCCAUGACCCUACCUACCUAUCAAGUCGGCUUCCUGUUAAGAGGACAACAUGCUCUAGAGACAAGUAUUUGCAGUUGGAGGAUCCCUGAAGCUGCCUCUCAAAUUCUCAAGCACUUAGGGUGGGAGUCGCUGAGCUACUGGCCUUCUUGGCUGAACAUUUCAGGGGAAACAGCAGAUUGAGAGUAAGCAAGUAAAUGGGAGCACCCUGGAGUUGCUGGAAGUCAUUGUUACCUUUUUUUCCCUUUUUUCAUUUAUGUGGAUGGGUAGUUGUCACCUCAAAUUGACCUUAGUGUAUCUUCAACAUAGUUGUAAUGUAAGGAACCCACAGUUUGAAGACUAAUAACUUGGGUUUGAAUCUUAGCUCCAUCAUUUAUUGCUAAUUUAACUUUGAGCAAGUUUCUUAAACUUCUAUACCUUGGUGUUCCCAUGUGUAAUUGAGUACUUGG
rnacentral:lncRNA from 1 species